rnacentral:rRNA from 1 species
GUGGGGAAUAUUGGUCAAUGGACGAGAGUCUGAACCAGCCAAGUCGCGUGAAGGAAGACGGUUCUAUGAAUUGUAAACUUCUUUUGUGCAGGAAUAAAGUGGGUUACGUGUAACCUUUUGUAUGUACUGUACGAAUAAGGAUCGGCUAACUCCGUGCCAGCAGCCGCGGUAAUACGGAGGAUCCGAGCGUUAUCCGGAUUUAUUGGGUUUAAAGGGUGCGUAGGUGGAUUGAUAAGUCAGCGGUGAAAGUUUGCAGCUUAACUGUAAAAUUGCCGUUGAAACUGUCGGUCUUGAGUGCAAAUGAGGUAGGCGGAAUGUGUUGUGUAGCGGUGAAAUGCUUAGAUAUAACACAGAACUCCGAUUGCGAAGGCAGCUUACUGGGAUGCAACUGACACUGAUGCACGAAAGCGUGGGUAUCAAACAGGAUUAGAAACCCUAGUAGUCC